CAGCAGCAAAGUGAAGACCUCUCUACCUCCCUCUCCAUUAAUUCCUCACUGGCAUGUUCAGGAUCUUGGCCUCACUCCAGUUCAAGGAGAUUGGAACCACCUGGACCAUCUGGAUAUCCCACAGAAGACCACACUGACCCAUUAUUACACUGAUGAUAUCAUGCUGAUUGGGCAAGACAAGCAAGAGGAAGGAAGGCCCACAGAAGUUGCUGUGUGAACAUGUGUGGAGAUGUGAAUCCAUAUAGCUCAAAGGGUGGACUGUGACACAUAUGAGUCCAUGGAUCAGGAAUUUGGAGUGAGGACAGUUGAGAUGGCUUUUCUCUGCUUUACGCUGUCUGAAACCUCAACUUGGAAGACUCAAACCUCAGAAGGUGUUUUAAACAUACGGAAUCUGGAGAUAUCUGAAGCCU
rnacentral:lncRNA from 1 species